rnacentral:rRNA from 1 species
GAUGAACGCUGGCGGCGUGCCUAAUACAUGCAAGUCGAGCGAACGGGCGAGAAUCUUGCUUCUCUGAUGUUAGCGGCGGACGGGUGAGUAACACGUGGAUAACCUACCUAUAAGACUGGGAUAACUUCGGGAAACCGGAGCUAAUACCGGAUAAUAUUUUGAACCGCAUGGUUCAAAAGUGAAAGACGGUCUUGCUGUCACUUAUAGAUGGAUCCGCGCUGCAUUAGCUAGUUGGUAAGGUAACGGCUUACCAAGGCAACGAUGCAUAGCCGACCUGAGAGGGUGAUCGGCCACACUGGAACUGAGACACGGUCCAGACUCCUACGGGAGGCAGCAGUAGGGAAUCUUCCGCAAUGGGCGAAAGCCUGACGGAGCAACGCCGCGUGAGUGAUGAAGGUCUUCGGAUCGUAAAACUCUGUUAUUAGGGAAGAACAUAUGUGUAAGUAACUGUGCACAUCUUGACGGUACCUAAUCAGAAAGCCACGGCUAACUACGUG